GUUAGACAAGGCUUACAGUUAUUGUGUCUUUAUAGCUGAAGAAAUAAGUUUUUUUAAAAAAUAAAAUGAAAGCAGCAUAUCAACAUCUUGGGUUAUAGCACAACAGUAUUAAGAGGGUAGUUUCUAGCAAUAAGUGAAUGUAUUUUAAAGAUAAAAAUAGAUCAAAUAAACAAUCUAACAAUGCAUUUCAACAGCUCAAAAAAUGAUACAAGAUGACUGAAUAAUGAGAAGCUGCCCUGACCUCUACUGUGGAAACAUCAGAAAAACAGAAGUAAGAAGAGAAAGGAGAGAAAUUUUCAGCGGGGAAGUGACAGCAUAGAGAUUCCAUGGGACUCCAAGAAAAGAAGACAGACAUGCUUCUGGAGGAAUUUGUGGGAGAAAUGAAUUUUACACUACCAAUCCAUGUAUAUGUGGAAGAUUCACUAAAUGUUAUGGAGAUUACCAUUCCUAAAGCAGGCUCCAUGGACCACUGGGAUCUUGAGGUACUACACCUAUUUGAAAUACAGUAUUUAUCUAUUUUUAUGCAUUUAUAUACAUAGCAUGCAUCUUAUAAUGAAUGUAAAUAUAUGUAUAGAUGUUUAUAUGUAAGCAUGCAUUUUCUAAAUGUAUACACUGUAAUGUUUCUGUAAUCUUUACAGAUAAAGAUACAGAUACACUAUAAAUUUUCUGUAAUCAAACAUGUGGGAGAAAUAUUAGGACUCAUUUGAAAAUGCUUCUUUGGUGGAGAGUUUUCCAGCUUUUUAGGUUGAUAUCAUUGUCAUCUGAUACAUCUAUUUACGGGAGGAUUCUGGAUUAUUAUUUACUGCAGUGCACCCUUAAAAUCAGUGCAAUAAAGUAUCACUUACAGGGAGAGGGAGAAUAAAG
rnacentral:lncRNA from 1 species